UCUGUACAGUUCUUCAAAGGGUUUGUGCCUUUGUGGUCUGUAUUGGUCUGUGUUGGACUGUAGAAGAACUUCAUAUGUCUUGGUUUGUUUGUUGUAGUCCAUUUGUUAAGUCUAUCACUGAGUCCGACCCAAACCUAUAUAUACAUUAUGGACUUAGGGGCGUGGAUUGAGCUGUGGCCUAUGUGGUAAAAGCUCAAUUUAAGGCUCUAAAGCUGGCCAGCAAUCGGCCCAAUAAGUUUCUGACAGUGUUGCUAAAGACCUGAAGUAUUUUGUGCCGAAGAAUCAAUCAGAGCGUCAUUUCGCGUCAUAAUGUGCAAUUACAUGUAGAGAAUACUAUGCCAAAGAGAUUAAGAGAACAUAGGAAUAACAAUUAACAAUCCCAGUCUAAUAAACCAAAUCAAAUGCUAGCAACAGAAAAUGCACAUCAGCUGAUCAUCACAUGUAGUCAUCUCAUCUACUGUACAACAAUAAGGUAUAAACUAUGAUCAACUUACACAUUCUAUAUGAAUACUCUGAC
rnacentral:lncRNA from 1 species